GCUGCAAAUAGCUGACAUUCCAUCACCAGAUCUCAAAGAUAAGACCAGACAAGACCGAUGCUCUUCACAGCUUAGUGAUUACAGUGAACUUUGACCUGCAUGGGACUUGCACCUGUACACAGGCAAAAUGGCGGAAGCAGAUGGUAAUAUGACGUCACCCCGGAAGUGAAAAUGUGAAAUGAAACGACAGAGGGGCCGUGUCAACAUUCAAUUAAGAUUAAUCAAAGUACUGAAAGCACUAAAAGGAAGAAAUAACAUUUCGAGAUGAGAUAAGAAAAUAGGAAUUAAUUUUGACUGAAUAUAUGUUAACUAUACAUUCUCAACAGAUAGCCUACAUUUAUAACAUUCUCGCAUUUCGCAAAUUAAAUAUUUAUAAAUAUAUAUUUGAGUCCUUUUGUUAAAUUAAUCAGUUUAUUCAUACUCAAAACUCAGGAUAUAGGCCUACCCAUUUUGUUGAUUUAUUUCAAUUUUGAUACUACUUUACGCUUUGUUAUUUUUUAUGACUUGUUAUUUGUUAUCAAAUACAAUAUCAUUAACUAAAUAUCACUAACUGAAUAAACUAGAAACUC